GCAGUUCAGAGAGGCUCCCAGGGAAGAGGCUCCCGGGAAGAAGCUGCAUGGUGGUGUUGACAGGAGUAACUCUCGUAGCUUGAUCUGAGUUUCCGUCAUCGUGGUGUGCUCCGUGUGUAUGUGUGUGUUCACGCAGUCGUGUGUACUCAGCCACGUCUCCUCUGAAUGAGAGGGGGCCAUAAGUGGGAAGCAAAAAAUCAGUUUCUAAAUGACCCAUGGAGAAAGUCACAUAUUACAUGUUCCUACAUUAUGGAACUGGUACCAAAUGGAAUAAAAAACACUCUGCAUUAAGGAGUUGAAAGGCAACCAACUUCAUUAUGCCAUUGGAUUGAUGGGGGAUUGCUCGUCAUCAGAGCGUUGGCACUGUUGCAUCAGGUCGAGGUCUGGGGAGCUGGGGUCCUCCUGUGAAAAGAUCCUCAACUUCCUUGGUUCAUCUCUCCACACUACCAGGAGUGUAGAUGUGGAGUGAGGCUGAGUUAGAACCCAAAGUCUCUCCAGAGGAGAAUGAGAAACUCAGUACCAGGAAUCAAACGCAUGAUCUUGUGCUUGCCAGGCAGGCGCUUUGCUGCUGAGCUAAAUCCCUAGCCCCUUAAGCAGACUUCUGGAAGAUGCACUGUGACUUGUUAGGAGACACUGCAAUUAGAGAAGUUUUUGAAGAGACAGGUAUAAAAUCAGAAUUCAGGUCCCUCCUGAGUAUUCGACAACAGCACACAAAUCCAGGAGCUUUGGGGAAGUCAGAUGUAUAUAUCACCUGCCGCCUCAAGCCACGCGCAUUCACAGUAAAUUUUUGCCAGCAUAAAUGCUUAAGAUGUGAGUGGAUGGAUCUCAACGACCUGGUCAGGACUGAAAAUACAGCUCCUAUCACCAGCAGAGUGGCUUGACUGCUGCUGUGUGGAUACAGAGAAGGGUUUGACAAGAUUGACCUCUGCAUGGAAGAACUUCCAGCAGUUUACACACACCUGUUCUGCAAACUCUAUCACAAGGACCUGCCAGAGGAUUACAAAAUUAUGACAGAAAUAGAUUAAAUUCACAGUUACAUGUUUUAAAAAAAAUUCAGAGUGAACUGUACAUGUAGCUUAACAUAUACUGUAAGACAUGAUGAACAUUUGGGAUUGAUUAAAUAUCUGAUGCUGAUUUUCUAAUCAUGAUUUUCCAUGAUGAAAAAUUAUUUGUA